rnacentral:lncRNA from 1 species
CUCUGUCCCGCCCCGGAUGCCCACCUGCGUCCGCCUUCGGCUAACGGCCUUCUCCUCGAACCUCUACCCUUUCUGAUCUAGCAGCUUACUGCUAUGUUGCAGGAAAAUGGCUGGAGCAUUUCGUGAAUCUUGCCUCCAUAUCCCGGUGUUCAGAAGAAGAGAAGCGUAAAGCAAAAUCUCAAGCUGGACCUAUUUCCGGGGCUGUUGGAUUCUCUCAGAGUUUUCAUCACUUGCAUUCUGAAUCCCAGCAGCAGAGGAAACGCAGCCAAGAAGAGGAAGAAAGGAACACUGUGGAAAGAACACUGCAAUUAAAAAAAUACAGUGGACCCUUAACUUACGAACUCAAUCCGUUCACGAGGACUGGUUAUAACUCAAAUUGGUUGUAAGUCAAGACUAUUUUUCCCUUAAGAAACAAUGGAAAUACCUAUAAUGUGUUCUGAACCUCCCUAAGCACCCCUUAACUAAUCUUUUCAUAAUAACAAGGUUGUAUACGGUGCGUAAUUUACCAGAAACACCAAUAAUUUUCCUAGUGUAUUCAGCAAAAAGUUAUAAAAUGCGCCUAGUUUACCAGAAACAACAAUUUCAGACUGUACUCACCACUCCAGUUGACAUCUUUGGCUUGCAGGACUGGAGGAUGAAAUGGAAGGUGGUUAUUGUUUGGGAAGAGAGGCCCCUUCCAUAAGAGCAUCAGGAAUCUGGCUCUCUGGUGUCCUUUCUCUCCUUGGGAGAGACUGUACCCACUAGGACCUGCUCUGGAUCACUAGGUCUCAACCUUCUCGUUUCUGUCUUUUCUUUAACACUGUUCUGUAGUAUGACAUGACAUUGCCAUUAAGCAAGUGAAUGCAGUGAUUGGCUUUUUCUCUGCCGGGGUGUCUUCUCUGCAAAUGUUUGUAGCUCUGCCCAUUUUUUCAGGAUUUCCCUUAUUUCAGAAGAACUUUACUGCACCGAUUGUUGAUGCUUUCCAGUCCUCUUCAGAAAGCUCCUCAGCUGCUGUUCUCUGCUGCUCAACCGGACGCUGCUGAAGUUUCUCUGUAGACAGUUCCUCUGAGUGUUCCUCCACCAGUUCCUCAGCAUCACUGUCUACCUGCCAGCCAUGGACUCUGCUACAGCGACAGUGUCACCGACUGCAGGCUCAGUUGAAGGCUCGGCUGCUCUACACAGCCUUCAGUCUUCUCCUGUAUCAUUUUAGGCCACACUUUCUCCCAGGCAGAUCUCAGUGUCCUUAGACACUGGCCCAGGAUUUCUCAGUUAACCCCACACUGGAAAGACUGGCAUCAGGUCGUAACUCAAGACUUUGGUCAUAAGUUAAAAGUAAAAUUUCUGUAGUAACCAAAGUUGUUCUAUGUGAGGCCAGUCGUAACUGGAGGGUCCACUGUAUGGGGGAAAGAAGUGGAUGAGAACAGAGCAGUAGAGCUCCAAUUCCU